rnacentral:rRNA from 1 species
UACGUAGGGGGCAAGCGUUGUCCGGAAUCAUUGGGCGUAAAGCGCGUGUAGGCGGUUCGGUAAGUCGGCUGUGAAAGUCCAGGGCUCAACCCUGGGAUGCCGGUCGAUACUGCCGGACUAGAGUUCGGAAGAGGCGAGUGGAAUUCCCCGGUGUAGCGGUGAAAUGCGCAGAUAUCGGGAGGAACACCAAUGGCGAAGGCAGCUCGCUGGGACGUUACUGACGCUGAGACGCGAAAAGCGUGGGGAGCAAACAGG